rnacentral:rRNA from 1 species
GAGUACGGUCGCAAGGCUGAAACUCAAAGGGAUUGACGGGGGCCCGCACAAGCGGUGGAGCAUGUGGUUCAAUUCGACGCAACGCGAAGAACCUUACCCAGGCUCGAACGGCAAGUGACAUCCGGCGAAAGCCGGCUCCCGCAAGGGCAGUUGCCGAGGUGCUGCAUGGCUGUCGUCAGCUCGUGUCGUGAGAUGUUGGGUUAAGUCCCGCAACGAGCGCAACCCUUGUCCGCUGUUGCCAUCAGGUUAAGCUGGGCACUCUGCGGAGACUGCCGGUGAUAAACCGGAGGAAGGUGGGGAUGACGUCAAGUCAGCAUGGCCUUUAUGUCUGGGGCUACACACGUGCUACAAUGGCAGAUACAAACCGUCGCGAGACCGCAAGGUGGAGCUAAUCGGAGAAAGUCUGUCUCAGUUCGGAUUGCAGGCUGCAACUCGCCUGCAUGAAGUUGGAAUCGCUAGUAAUCGCGGAUCAGCACGCCGCGGUGAAUACGUUCCCGGGCCUUGUACACACCGCCCGUCACAUCACGAAAGCUGGCUGUACUAGAAGUCGCCGCGCUAACCCGCAAGGGAGGCAAGCGCCUAAGGUAUGGUUAGUGAUUGGGGUG